CUUAAACCCUGGCAGCAACAAAGGCACUUCCCUCAGCAUGGAACAUUCACAGUGAGAUCAGGAGGACACCAAUCGUAUUGAAUUAGGGUCCAUGCUAAUGGCCUCAUCACAAUAUCCUAUCUCCAGAUGAAGUCAAAUUCACAGGCUCCCCCACUGGACGGAAGGGUCCACAAGGCUCUCGUCUCCUACCACCCAGCAUGAUGUCGGCACAUCAUUAUGCCAUGACUGUUUGCCAAUCAGAUGAAUAGAGGGAUCUAUGAAGAAAUAGAUGGAUGAUAUUCAG
rnacentral:lncRNA from 13 species